UUAAGUUCAGCGGGUAUCCCUACCUGAUCCGAGGUCAACCAUAGAAAAUUGGGGGUUGCUGGCCAGCGUCCACCGAAGCCCAGACGCGAGAUAGAAUUACUACGCGUAGAGCUCGAUGGCACCGCCACUAGUUUUAAGGCCAGCCGUUGCCGGCACGGCCCAAGACCAAGCAGAAGCUUGAGGGUUGAAAUGACGCUCGA
rnacentral:misc_RNA from 1 species